rnacentral:rRNA from 1 species
AUUGAACGCUGGCGGCAGGCCUAACGCAUGCAAGUCGAGCGGAUGAAGGGAGCUUGCUCCUGGAUUCAGCGGCGGACGGGUGAGUAAUGCCUAGGAAUCUGCCUGGUAGUGGGGGAUAACGUCCGGAAACGGGCGCUAAUACCGCAUACGUCCUGAGGGAGAAAGUUGGGGAUCUUCGUACCUCACGCUAUCAGAUGAGCCUAGGUCGGAUUAGCUAGUUGGUGGGGUAAAGGCCUACCAAGGCGACGAUCCGUAACUGGUCUGAGAGGAUGAUCAGUCACACUGGAACUGAGACACGGUCCAGACUCCUACGGGAGGCAGCAGUGGGGAAUAUUGGACAAUGGGCGAAAGCCUGAUCCAGCCAUGCCGCGUGUGUGAAGAAGGUCUUCGGAUUGUAAAGCACUUUAAGUUGGGAGGAAGGGCAGUAAGUUAAUACCUUGCUGUUUUGACGUUACCAACAGAAUAAGCACCGGCUAACUUCGUG